rnacentral:rRNA from 1 species
GACGAACGCUGGCGGCGUGCUUAACACAUGCAAGUCGAACGGAAAGGCCCUGCUUUUGUGGGGUGCUCGAGUGGCGAACGGGUGAGUAACACGUGAGUAACCUGCCCUUGACUUUGGGAUAACUUCAGGAAACUGGGGCUAAUACCGGAUAGGAGCUCCUGCUGCAUGGUGGGGGUUGGAAAGUUUCGGCGGUUGGGGAUGGACUCGCGGCUUAUCAGCUUGUUGGUGGGGUAGUGGCUUACCAAGGCUUUGACGGGUAGCCGGCCUGAGAGGGUGACCGGCCACAUUGGGACUGAGAUACGGCCCAGACUCCUACGGGAGGCAGCAGUGGGGAAUAUUGCACAAUGGGCGGAAGCCCGAUGCAGCAACGCCGCGUGCGGGAUGAUGGCCUUCGGGUUGUAAACCGCUUUCGCCUGUGACGAAGCGUGAGUGACGGUAAUGGGUAAAGAAGCACCGGCUAACUACGUG